rnacentral:rRNA from 1 species
UACGUAGGGUGCGAGCGUUAAUCGGAAUUACUGGGCGUAAAGCGUGCGCAGGCGGUUCGUUAAGUCUGAUGUGAAAGCCCCGGGCUCAACCUGGGAAUGGCAUUGGAAACUGGCGGGCUUGAGUGUGGCAGAGGGGGGUGGAAUUCCGCGUGUAGCAGUGAAAUGCGUAGAGAUGCGGAGGAACACCGAUGGCGAAGGCAGCCCCCUGGGCUAACACUGACGCUCAGGCACGAAAGCGUGGGGAGCAAACAGGAUUAGAUACC